CCCAAAUUCUUUUUUUUUUUUUUAAUCAGAUUGCAUUUCCACAUAUGCUUACAAUGCCAACCCUUCCUGCCUUAUCCAGCAUCAGUCAUCAGAGACUUCCAGAGCCUACCAAAAUCUGGCGCAAAGUAGCAGUAAGCCUCGUAAGAGGUCAAAGCGUUUAAAAGAGGGCAAAAGGCAAGGACUUAUGAUAAAGCAGUGCAAAUGUAUGGGAUUAAACAGCAAGGCCGGUGGGAUGGCACUGGAUGCACUUCAGGCCUUGUGGGUAGGCCUUGUGUGAACGGCUCCCCUGUGCAGCCGUGGGGGUCCAGAAGGAGCCAAGCACAGAAAGGCUGCAGGAGGAGAGGGGAUGGCAAGUGCAAGGUUACAUGUCAGAGAUGAGCACAAAAUGAGUCACGCUACAAAAGGCUGCACCUGAAAGGAAGUGUAAACCAGUGACUUCCUCUUCCCUGAACCUGCAGAGCUACAGACGAGGAGCAGAGACUGGAGAGUGAAAAUGCCCACUUCCUGCUCCACCGUCAGACACAACCAGUGCUAGAACUAGAGCUGUGCAAAGGCACAGAAUCCCCCAGCCUUCCAAUUCCUCCAGACAGGGCUGCAACUGCAGAAGAAAAAGAAAAACAAAAAAUAAGGACAAAUUAAAUUUUGCCAUGCUUCAGCACACGAUGCCAAAAGCUUUGCAUAGCAAAAUAAAUCUCAAGCCACAGACAAAGUUCCCACAGUGAAGUGAAACUUAAAUGUCUUCAGCAGCUCUGGCAAAAGCAUGCCAGCUCUGCCGGAAGUCAUCAGACAGUUCCCCUUUCACUGAUGCAUGAAUGUAGUCUAAUUCUCUGCUUGCCUGGUUCUCUGCUUCUUUGUACAAAGUCCUUCAUCAGUGUAGUCAAGCUCUCAUGGGAAAGCUAGUUUAAAAUAGGAAAAAAUAUUUUUUAAUCAUUUUUUGUUUAGUUUUUCAACGUUUUCUUUGCAGUUUUUCAUGCCCAGGCUUAGCCGUGUGUGGUUCCAGGCAGGCCAUCACAUCACAUGGAGGUCAGGGAAAGCCAGUGCAAAGCAAUGGGUCCUCCUGGGUCUUUGGCUCCCUUUACCCCUCCCCAAGAAUAUUUCCUUUUUUCUGCUAUCUAGAGAAGUUGUGCCCAGAGAGGCUGUGGGUGCCCCAUCCCCAGAGGUGCUCAAGGACAGGUUGGAUGGACCCUGGGCAUCCCAAUCUGGUGGGUGGCAACCAGUCCAUGGCAGGGGAUUGGAGCUGGGUGAUCUUUAAGGUCUUUUCCAACCUAAGCCAUUCUAUGAUUCUAUGAAAAAAAAACUUCCACUAAGAAAAUGUGGGAAAACAAAGUAGUUAAGAAAACUGCUUGAAAAGGCAAAGACUAAUAGAAGAUGCCUGAAUCCUAGCUUUAAAAGAAUAAUAAUCAUUUCCAACUUAUUUUCUUCAUCUGCAGACAUUUGCUGAACUUGAGGAGGAUUCAAAACAAUUUUUUGUCCACCCAAAGCUGUGCGUCACACCAACAGCACCCCCUCAUCCCAAUACCAAGCUGACACUAGCUGCCUUUAGAGCCACUGAGAAUGCAAAGUCUUCGUAUCAUCCAGCCCUAAUCCAUAGAUCAGGAGAUUGGAUCUGGUAGGGAAAUUAACAGAGAUCGAAGCAUGUCCUGCUUUCCCCGCAGAGGCACUUAUUGCUUUUGCAGUGAGCUGUGAAGGACUCUUGUUUACAUUCCAGGGCCGUGGGUCACAUUUGAGCACAUCACCUCGCUCUUCUUUGACAUCAUUAAGCAAGAAGCUCUGCCUUCAUUUGUCAGCUGAGCUCAAUGCUGACAUUUAACCCACGACUACAGUCUGUUCCCAGUUCCAACCAGCCUGGAGCUGGCUCUCAAUGCUUGUGGCUUCCUUCAGGAAGCUACUGCCAGCUUGCCAUUCCUUUCACUUCAAUAUUUGUUUUAUUUACUUUAUCUUUUGCCGACAUUUCCUGGCUCUGUGGUCCAUAUGACUCAGAGAUUUCCCGGACCCCAACUCUGCAGUGAUGUCAGCUCCAAAGGCUGAAGUUAAUAAAUACCACACUCUCGUGAUGCCAAACUGUAAUGAUGAGGGAGGCGGCACGCUGUUGUUUCAUUAUUUUUUAUGGCCGGCACAUUGAGUUUCCUCUAACUCCAUACUUGGACCUGAGCUGCAGCCUACUAUAAAGCUUCUAUACCAUUUUAAUGACAAGAGGAUAGAAAGUGAAACACCCUGCUUUAUUUUGAUCUUCUCAAGAGACAAGUGUGUAUAAAGCUGUAAAAGACCUGCUGUAGACAUAAGGCAAAAGUCCAGGGCUGCUUUGAAGUCGUGUGUCCCGAAGUCACCUUGGAGAGUGACUUCAUCUCUAUGAGACUUGUUGUGUUAAAAAAAAAUAAAAAAUAGUAGAGGUAUUUAAGACAUGCCUAGCAUCUGCUGGCUCAGAUAAAUGUUAGCAACUGUAUAAAUACAUCUGUUCUCCCUGCUUGAUGUUGUAUGUUCACCUUUAUAUUGAAGAAGGAGCUGAAGCCAGCAGUGAUACAGCAUGCUGGUAUCAAAGCUGUUUGCAGUGGGUCUUGGAGCUUCGUGCUCAAGUCUUCUAAAAUCCUCCAUCCUUUUGCAGACAGCCAUUUCUAAUGAGGUAGACUUGAAGAGAAAUCACAGCUUUUCCAUUCCUUGUUAAGAUUUUAUUUUCUAAUCUCUCCGCAUAAUUUUCAUGGUAUUUCCCUGAACUGUCAACAUGGGGCCACCUGUAACUGCUUCACCAUUUAUUUGCCAUACAAGGCAAUCACCUGCCUGUGGCUGGCAUAAAUCCAUGACGCAGUCAUGAGCCCUGGGGACUUUCCCCUUGGCUCUCAGCAUCACUCAUGCUGCACCACAGGUACUUCCACCCAUAUAGAAGGUGAACUAUGUGCUACAAUGAGAAGAACACAGGAGCCUAUCAAAAACACAAGCAAAGCAACGACCUUUGUGCCAUUGCAGGAAUCAACAUGAUUGCAGAGCAGUCUUGCUGCUGCAGGACUACACGAGGCUACAACAGGAGACUUUUAAUUUGGUUUAUCAGCAGGUCAUAUGAAUUUCAGCAAAGUGUUCCAGUCUACCUCAUCUUUUUUUUUUUUUUUUUUUUUCAUUUUUAGAAAAUAAAUCAGACUUCAUAACAUAGGCAAGAUGUUAUGAGAAACGCCCCUGAGUUCUGGUCUGAAAAUCACCAUGUCUCUGGAAAGGAGAAGGCUGGAGCACCCCUCCUACGAAGAGAGGCUGACGGAGCUGGGCUUGCUCAGCCUGGAGAAGAGAAGGCUCCAGAGAGACCUCACUGUGUUCAGCCAGUACUUAAAGGGAGAUUAUAAACAGGAGGGGAAUGAACUUUUAAAACAGGCCCCUCCAGAGCACAACAUUGAUGCCAAGACCACAAAUGGAAGCCACAAGGAGGAAAAUGAUAAGCAUCUUUGCAUUUCCUGGCACUCAGGCUGCCUCAGCAAGGAAUUCAUUCCCUGCCUGAACUGCUCAGCAGUAUGCACACCGUUUUACAUUCCUAGGUGUGUCUGAGUUCAGAGGCACUCUAAGGUCACCAUGAACUCUUGGAUCUCAGCUCUCUGCUGUCCAAGGUGCAGGACUGUCCUUAGGCAACACCAGGACACCAAAAACGGAGCCAAAACAUCCCUUGGGCAAGAGAAGGAGGAUGAGCUGGUGCAUUGCGUGGCGGAUGAGAUAGGACUCGAUGCACAGUCCUGGACGAUGCCAUUUCUCCCAGCUCCAAGCAGAGGGUGGUUUCUGCAUCUCUAAACAUUUCUAUUUUAUUUUUUUUGUGGAUCUCAUAGUAGGCUGUUUUGGCUUACCUGACACCUCAUUUCCAUAAUCGUGCUGCUUUGCGUAACUGGGAACACUUGUUCUCACCAUGGGUAAAGCAAGCAUUAGCUGGCAUGGAUCUCAGCAGAUUAUGCACCUCAAGGA
ensembl:lncRNA